UACAGAGGUGGCAAGCGUUGUUCGGAAUUACUGGGCGUAAAGGGCGCGUAGGCGGCCUUCUAAGUCGGACGUGAAAGCCCCAGGCUUAACCUGGGAACUGCGUCCGAUACUGGCGGGCUUGAAUUCGGGAGAGGGAUGUGGAAUUCCAGGUGUAGCGGUGAAAUGCGUAGAUAUCUGGAGGAACACCGGUGGCGAAGGCGGCAUCCUGGACCGAGAUUGACGCUGAGGCGCGAAAGCUAGGGGAGCAAACGGG
rnacentral:rRNA from 1 species